AACGAACGCUGGCGGCAUGCCUAACGCAUGCAAGUCGAACGCAUCCAUCGGGGCGAGUGGCAGACGGGUGAGUAACGCGGGGGAACGAGCCCUUCAGUUCGGGAUAACUCAGGGUAACUUGGGCUAAGACAGGAGACGUGCGAGGGGAGAAAGAUCUAUCGCUGAAGGAUCGGCCAGCGUCUGAUUAGGUAGUUGGUGGGGUAAUGGCCCACCAAGGCGACGAUCCGUAGCUGGUCUGAGAGGAUGAUCAGCCACAUUGGGACUGAGACACGGCCCAAACUCCUACGGGAGGCAGCAGUGGGGAAUAUUGGACAAUGGGCGCAAGCCUGAUCCAGCCAUGCCGCGUGAGUGAUGAAGGCCUUAGGGUUGUAAAGCUCUUUCGUCCGGGACGAUAAUGACGGUACCGGAAGAAGAAGCCCCGGCUAACUUCGUGCCAGCCGCCGCAGUAA
rnacentral:rRNA from 1 species